rnacentral:rRNA from 1 species
UGGGGAAUUUUGGACAAUGGGCGAAAGCCUGAUCCAGCAAUGCCGCGUGUGUGAAGAAGGCCUUCGGGUUGUAAGCACUUUUGUCCGGAAAGAAAUCCUUGGCUCUAAUACAGUCGGGGGAUGACGGUACCGGAAGAAUAAGCACCGGCUAACUACGUGCCAGCAGCCGCGGUAAUACGUAGGGUGCAAGCGUUAAUCGGAAUUACUGGGCGUAAAGCGUGCGCAGGCGGUUUGCUAAGACCGAUGUGAAAUCCCGGGCUCAACCUGGGAACUGCAUUGGUGACUGGCAGGCUAGAGUAUGGCAGAGGGGGGUAGAAUUCCACGUGUAGCAGUGAAAUGCGUAGAGAUGUGGAGGAAUACCGAUGGCGAAGGCAGCCCCCUGGGCCAAUACUGACGCUCAUGCACGAAAGCGUGGGGAGCAAACAGGAUUAGAUACCCUGGUAGUCCACGCCCUAAACGAUGUCAACUAGUUGUUGGGGAUUCAUUCCUUAGUAACGUAGCUAACGCGUGAAGUUGACCGCCUGGGGAGUACGGUCGCAAGAUUAAAACUUAAAUGAAUUGACGGGGUCAUA